rnacentral:lncRNA from 1 species
CCACAAACUUCCCACGGGCUCAUUAUUUUUAAACGGAAAUCCUGUUUGUGAGACGACUCAUCUUCCCAUCGUUCUUCUUCCAAAAGCCGUCUUCUCCAACUCUUCUUGCUCCAAAUCCAAGGAUCAAUUCUGAGGCAAUUCUCCCUCCUACUCUCCACCAAAAAUCGCCUCCUUCAAAAGGAUUUUCUGUGCUUUCUCGCUUUGCUUGGCGCGGUUUGAACGUGCCCUAGCACUUUACCGAACUUCCAAAAUCCACUUUCUUUCUCCACUAAAAUUCCUCUUUACUCUCUUGUGAUCCCUCCUCCUCUCAAUUCAAGUCUUCUUGUCUGCUACUUUAUUGGAUAUGGCUCCAAAGAUGAAACUUCCCCAAAGAAGGAAAUCAAUUCGUGAGCCUGAGGAAAUUGUCCGAAAGAAAAGGCAUGCUCAGUCUUUCAGUGUUUUCGAUCCAGUUUCAGUACCUGCUCAAGGUCUCUAUCAAUCCUCCAUAAGCCCCAGUGUAAAUCCUCUUUCUGAUAGAAAAGUAGAAACCGGAAAAAAUAUAGAUUUUUGGUUCUUUGAGAAAGAAGGCUUUACUUUUGCUANNN